rnacentral:rRNA from 1 species
AGUGAACGCUGGCGGUAGGCCUAACACAUGCAAGUCGAACGGCAGCACAGUAAGAGCUUGCUCUUACGGGUGGCGAGUGGCGGACGGGUGAGGAAUACAUCGGAAUCUACUUUUUCGUGGGGGAUAACGUAGGGAAACUUACGCUAAUACCGCAUACGACCUACGGGUGAAAGCAGGGGAUCUUCGGACCUUGCGCGGUUGAAUGAGCCGAUGUCGGAUUAGCUAGUUGGCGGGGUAAAGGGCCACCAAGGCGACGAUCCGUAGCUGGUCUGAGGGGAAGGUCAGCCACACUGGAACUGAGACACGGCCCAGACUCUGACGGGAGGACGCAGUGGGGAAUAUUGGGCGAUGGGGGCAAGGCUGAUCCAGCCAUACCGCGUGGGUGAAGAAGGCCUUCGGGUUGUAAAGCCCUUUUGUUGGGAAAGAAAAGCAGCAGGUUAAUACCCCGCUGUUCUGACGGUACCCAAAGAAUAAGCACCGGCUAACUUCGUG